AUGUCUCGUCUCAUCCCCCGGCGGCUCCACCGCGCAGUCUCUGCCGGCGGCGCGACCUUCUCCUCCUCGAGACCCUCCUCAAAUCUCCGCAGCAGCGACCCCACCACCGCCGCCACCUCGAAUGCGAUCGUCAGCCUCGUCGCGGCAGGCGGCGAUGGCGGCAGCCUGGAGGCGGACCUGGACCGCCUCGGCCCGCCCCUCUCCGACGCCGCUGUGUCGGCGGCGCUCCGCGCGCUCACGGAGCGCGGCGUCCCCUCGUUCCGCUUCUUCGCCUGGCUCUCCCGGCACAGGGGCGUCCCCCCGAGCGCCCGCGCCCACAACCUGCUCGUCCAGAACGCCGGCAGGCUGGCCGACUACCCCGCCAUGGCCCGCGCCCUCGGGCAAGCGUCGGCGCGGCGGCUCUCCCUUACCGAGCAAGCGUUCGCGUUCCUGGAGGCCGCGGCGAGGUCGUCGAGCAGCGUGGAUGACGCGGUGAGGGCGACUCUGACGACUCUGGACGGUGUUGGCGGCCCGUGCCGCGCGUCCGGCGUGUUCUCGCUGGUCAAGGCGUUGGCCUCGAUCGGCGAGCUCGACGCGGCCGUGUGGGUGAUCGAGGAGACGGCGAGGAGGGCGAGCUACUACAACGUCCUCUUGGCUGCCAAGUGCAAGGCCGGCGACUUCCGGGGCGCCCACGAGCUGUUCGACGAAAUGAGGAAGGGGAGCUGCGGCCCGAAUGCCAACUCCUGGAACUACCUCCUCGGGUGCCUGCUGAAGAAUGGCAGGGCUACCGAAGCGUGCGACCUUGUUGAGACCAUGGAGAGGUCGGACCACGACGACAUCCCGAACUCACUGACGUACGAGAUCCUCACAUACCAUGCCUGCAAGGCGGGGAAGAUGGAUUCGGCAAGGCAGAUUCUCGAUCAGUUGUUCUCAGAAAAUCUGACGCCGAGGAUUACAAUCCACACAGCCUUCAUCAAAGGGUACUUCUAUGCUGGGAGAAUUGACGAUGCUUGCGAUUAUGUGAGGGCUAUGAGCACCAGGGAUUCACACUCCACGAACAGGAACUACAGCCUGCUCGCCAAGCUGUUGCACAGGUCGGGGAGGAUCGUCGAGGCUGGAAGUGUCCUGUAUGAGUUGAUGGAGAAGGGCCUCAGGCCUGACCAUUCUGCUUAUGUUACAGUGUCCAAAGGUUUGCACAAGAUGGGAAGGGGAGAUCUGUGUGCUGAACUGAAGUCCUUGUUUCAGAAAUUCAUUGCACAGUCAGGUAGCUGGUAG
rnacentral:rRNA from 1 species